CCUCUGACCUGUGAGCAUCACGCUUAGCGGUCCUACGACGCUGGUCAUCAACUCGGUAAAUCAACCCAGAGUUUCUCAGUCUGGAUAUGAGUGCGUUCACAUAAAGGGGCGGGGUUUACAACAUCUGACCAAUCACAAUCAUGGACAAGUCUACUAUCAGCAGAACCAAGAGCGAACUAUAUUCUGUAUUAGUGUCCGAAUAAAACCUUUAAACCGAAACCAAAACACAGUGAAAGGAACCAUCUGAGCCUUCACCAGAUUCAUGUCUGACAAAACUUCAAACCUCCCCCUCCCCCCAUGCUUCAUCACUCACAGUAGAACAUCUUGAUUCAUUUCGAAUAGACAUUAAAGAUGUUUGUGGACUAUCAGCUGAUCAGAAAAUGAAAUCAGAGCGUGCUGCUUCUCGUGGUCGAGUCCAAAACAUCUCCUCACACUGAGAGGACGAGCGAACGCCGCGGGGACAGAUUCAUUAUGUCACUCAUUAUCAGCGGCAGAGUUAAUCCUGCCGAUGGCAAUCUGAAGCUGAACAGAUCAAUCUCACUGUUUAAUGAGAUGUAAUCCUCUCCGCCAAUUCCCUCCUGUCACUCAUAGAAACUGAAACCACACGACUAGCGGAGGAAAACUUUACAAACUGUACACAGUUUUCCUCGAACAAAGUGACGUCUUCAUUUCAGAUUCAUUUACAUUCUCAGACGUCAGAUGACCUAAUG